rnacentral:rRNA from 1 species
AUUGAACGCUGGCGGCAGGCAUAACACAUGCAAGUCGAGCGAGCGGCGGACGGGGGAGUAAUGUAUGGGGACUGCCCGAUAGCGGGGGAUAACUACUGGAAACGGUAGCUAAUACCGCAUACUAUCGGAUAACCCAUAUGGGAUUAGCUAGUAGGUGGGGUAAUGGCUCACCUAGGCGACGAUCGCUAGCUGGUCUGAGCGGAUGAGCAGCCAAACUGGGACUGAGACACGUCCCAGACUCAUACGGAGGCAGAAGUGGGGAAUAUUGCACAAUGAGCGCAAGCUUGAUGCAGCCAUGCCGCGUGUAUAAAGAAGGCCCUAGGUUUGUAAAGUACUUUCAGUCGGAAGGCGUUACCGACAGAAGAAGCACCGGCUAACUCCGUGCCAGCAGCCGCGGUAAUAC